rnacentral:rRNA from 1 species
CGCGUAGGCGGCCUUCUAAGUCGGACGUGAAAUCCCUCGGCUUAACCGAGGAACUGCGUCCGAUACUGGAAGGCUUGAAUCCGGGAGAGGGAUGUGGAAUUCCAGGUGUAGCGGUGAAAUGCGUAGAUAUCUGGAGGAACACCGGUGGCGAAGGCGGCAUCCUGGACCGGUAUUGACGCUGAGGCGCGAAAGCUAGGGGAGCAAACGGGAUUAGAUACCCCGGUAGUCCUAGCCCUAAACGAUGAGUGCUUGGUGUGGCGGGUAUCGAUCCCUGCCGUGCCGAAGCUAACGCAUUAAGCACUCCGCCUGGGGAGUACGGUCGCAAGGCUGAA